UGCACAUUUCGAUCAAAAUCAAGUUUCGAGUAAAAAUCAUCUGCAGUAGGUCUGCUCGUUACUGCAACUGACAACUGUUGCUCCUUUCUAGCCUCCUCCGCAGGCCUCUCUAUGGGUUCUAGUUUUCCCACCACCCGAUUCGUCGGGUGAGAUGCCUGCGGAGGAGGCUAGCUCCUUUCAACAAGUCGCCCAAAACUAGUUUAAUGAAUAAAUUCACUGCUGGCCAGGAUUAGGAUUGUUUGGAAUGAUGCGAGACCAUCAAAAAUAAGAAUGGUUUUUUGUGGCUCUUUUGCAAUUUGUUAGUAAAUACUUUCGAAAUUUUAUUCACUGAGUCCCAUACCAAACCGAAGAACUGUCUUGAGGGAUAUAUUUU